rnacentral:rRNA from 1 species
UGGGGAAUUUUGGACAAUGGGCGCAAGCCUGAUCCAGCAAUGCCGCGUGUGUGAAGAAGGCCUUCGGGUUGUAAAGCACUUUUGUCCGGAAAGAAAUCCGUCUGGCUAAUACCCGGACGGGAUGACGGUACCGGAAGAAUAAGCACCGGCUAACUACGUGCCAGCAGCCGCGGUAAUACGUAGGGUGCGAGCGUUAAUCGGAAUUACUGGGCGUAAAGGGUGCGCAGGCGGUCUUGCAAGUCAGAUGUGAAAGACCCGGGCUUAACCUGGGAAUUGCGUUUGAAACUACAAGGCUAGAGUGCAGCAGAGGGGAGUGGAAUUCCAUGUGUAGCAGUGAAAUGCGUAGAGAUGUGGAAGAACACCGAUGGCGAAGGCAGCUCCCUGGGUUGACACUGACGCUCAUGCACGAAAGCGUGGGGAGCAAACA